UACGUAGGGGGCAAGCGUUGUCCGGAAUCAUUGGGCGUAAAGAGCGUGUAGGCGGCUCGGUAAGUCUGCUGUGAAAGUCCAGGGCUCAACCCUGGGAUGCCGGUGGAUACUGUCGAGCUCGAGUCCGGAAGAGGCGAGUGGAAUUCCUGGUGUAGCGGUGAAAUGCGCAGAUAUCAGGAGGAACACCAAUGGCGAAGGCAGCUCGCUGGGACGUGACUGACGCUGAGACGCGAAAGCGUGGGGAGCGAACAGG
rnacentral:rRNA from 1 species